rnacentral:tRNA from 1 species
GAAAUAAUAGUUUAUUAAAAAUACUAGAUUGUGGAACUAGAGAAGUAUAUAUUACUUGUUUCA